rnacentral:rRNA from 1 species
GUGUCAGCAGCCGCGGUAAUACGUAGGUGGCAAGCGUUGUCCGGAUUUAUUGGGUUUAAAGGGUGCGUAGGUGGUCUAUUAAGUCAGUGCUGAAAUAUCCCGGCUUAACCGGGAGGGUGGCAUUGAUACUGAUGGACUUGAGUGGAGUUGAGGUAGGCGGAAUUGACGGUGUAGCGGUGAAAUGCUUAGAUAUCGUCAAGAACACCGAUAGCGAAGGCAGCUUACCAAGCUCUAACUGACACUGAUGCACGAAAGUGUGGGGAUCAAACAGGAUUAGAUACCCUGGUAGUCC